rnacentral:rRNA from 1 species
ACGCCUAAUACAUGCAAGUCGAACGGGGUAGCAAUACCUAGUGGCAGACGGGUGAGUAACAUGUGGGUACCUUCCCUUUGGUGAGGAAUAACACGAGGAAACUUGUGCUAAUACCUCAUAAGUCUUUACGGAGAAAGCUUUAUGCGCCAAUGGAUGGGCCCGCACUUGAUUAGUUAGUUGGUAGGGUAAUGGCCUACCAAGACUUUGAUCAAUAGCUGAUUUGAGAGGAUGAUCAGCCACAUUGGGACUGAGACACGGCCCAAACUCCUACGGGAGGCAGCAGUAGGGAAUCUUGCACAAUGGAGGAAACUCUGAUGCAGCGAUGCCGCGUGAGUGAAGAAGGCCCUUGGGUUGUAAAGCUCUUUCGUCGGGGAAGAAAAUGACUGUACCCGAAUAAGAAGGUCCGGCUAACUUCGUGCCAGCAGCCGCGGUAAUACGAAGGGACCUAGCGUAGUUCGGAAUUACUGGGCUUAAAGAGUUCGUAGGUGGUUAAAAAAGUUGGUGGUGAAAUCCCAGAGCUUAACUCUGGAACUGCCAUCAAAACUUUUUAGCUAGAGUAUGAUAGAGGAAAGCAGAAUUUCUAGUGUAGAGGUGAAAUUCGUAGAUAUUAGAAAGAAUACCAAUUGCGAAGGCAGCUUUCUGGAUCAUUACUGACGCUGAGGAACGAAAGCAUGGGUAGCGAAGAGGAUUAGAUACCCUCGUAGUCCAUGCCGUAAACGAUGUGUGUUAGAUGUUGGAAAUUUAUUUUCAGUAUCGCAGCGAAAGCGUUAAACACACCGCCUGGGGAGUAC